rnacentral:lncRNA from 1 species
GCCUCCGUAUUUAGAUCUCGUACAAAUACUCAAGAUACUUAAAUGUCAUUAUGUAAUAAAGGAAUGGGCAAAUAUGUAAUAAGUGAUGAGCCCUUAUUCUAUAAAAUGACUCCUCACCCUCACAAUUAGAGAAGGCCAAUUCCUAGGCCCUCUCACCCCCUCUCAAAGCCUCACUCUCAUUACAGAGGCUCUCACACUCACUCCCCUCACUUCUCAGAGAAAUACAAUAACCAGUGUGGACGUAGCCCAAACCUUGGGGUGAACCACGAUACAUCUUGUAUUAUUUACUUUCUUGCAGAUUCACGGUCGAAUUUACGUUAUUCCAAAACCUCCGGUUUUGUGCAUCAACAAAUAUCAAUGUCUGAAUCUUGUCUAGUUUGAAGAUAGAAGAAAACUUAUUCUUCCAUCCUACCAAAACUGAAUGUAGAGACAAAAUUUAAUAAGUUAUCUAAUUUAAUAUACAAGACACAAAACGAAACAAGACCUUAUAUAUCUAGGUUAAUUAUGGCUUUAAUCUAAUUAUUGUAAGCAUUGCUCGUUAUUAUUUUACAAAUUAUGCAGAAAAUUAAUUAGCUAGGUUCUGUUUGGUAUGCCAUAGAAAGUGUAGAAACACACGGUUUCUAAUCACCUAUCCCUUGGUUGGAACUGCAUCUUUAUCCAUGACUCAUGGCGAGCCAUGCCGAUAUAGUAGUUCUGGCUUCAGCUACCUUAUGUCUAUGGCAUCGCAAUCUUGACUUUUGAUGCCCAUGAUAGACCGUGUUUAUCAUAUGCUGGGACACACAGACACUGAUAACCACAAUAAUAGUAGACUAGUAGCAGCGAAUUGUAGGGCAGUCCGAAAAUCCUGCACAACAAAAACAAAAUGCAAUCAAUCUUCACUUCUCAUAUUUUCUAAAUUUUAGUCAAGACCGAUACUAGCACAACUCUUUAUAUUUGUCAAGUCUUUGAGUCUUAAAUUACUUACAGUUUAGUUUCAAAACCGUAGUUCAUCUAAAGUGCGAAUUCUCAUAUUAAUGGAAACAUGAGUACUGUUAGAUUGACGAGUUUAUAUUUCUUUACUAGGUAUAGGGUUUUUUUUUUUUUCUUCUUGUUUUUGUAAUCACAGUCUAUUGAUUUAUUCCCGUUAAAUGAUUAGUAACACUAAAGAUAUACCAAUCAAUCUAUUGGAUUCUCCAAAUCUGACUCUAUCACUCUGCAGAUUAAUAACAUAUGUGGGACCGCAGGUCCCAUUGACACAGGUAAAUAGUAUUGUUGCUACUUGCUUGGUUUGAUGAUGACGACGACGAUUCUGUUUGGGAUAUGAUGUUGGACAUAUGAAGCCCGGAAAGUGUGAGAAAAGAGAAUGGGAGCAAGAUGAUUGGAGAAGGCAAAGGCCAUGAUUGAACACACGGAGAGUGUGUUUUAAGCCAUCCCCUCCCCCUUGCGGCAUUGUCCCAUGGUCAACAAUCCUAGCUUGUCCUUACGCAAGCAUAUCAAUUUAUAUUUUUACAGUCGAAUAAUAUAAGUUAUCUUUAACUUUUGAAAAACUAAGAGAUAUAGGAGAAAUAAAGUUCAUCUUAUUUGGUAUUACUCUGGCACUAGUUAUGAGAGUCGUCAAUCUCUUCCUAAAUUUUAUGUUGCCAAAAAAAAGUUUCAUCAUUAUUUCGUUCACACUCAACAUCUUAACAGAAUUGAAUUUUUCCUAGCUAAGGGAAAUGAGAAUAGGACUAUGGUCAAAGAAUCGUUGGCAACUGUCGAUUGAAAUCAACAAGAACAAUAGUAUUUCGUAAUUCACGACACUCGAGAGGAUUUUUUAUUUUUCUACAAUUGUAACCUUUUUAGAUAUGGGUAAGGACACCGUUUGCUACACUCACGUCUCCCAAGAAAG